rnacentral:rRNA from 1 species
UACGGAAGGUCCGGGCGUUAUCCGGAUUUACUGGGUGUAAAGGGAGCGUAGACGGCCAGACAAGUCAGAAGUGAAAGCCCAGGGCUCAACCCUGGGACUGCUUUUGAAACUGCCGGGCUGGAGUGCAGGAGAGGUAAGUGGAAUUCCUAGUGUAGCGGUGAAAUGCAUAGAUAUCGCGCAGAACCCCGAUUGCGAAGGCAGCGUACCGGCUCUACACUGACGCUGAGGCACGAAAGCGUGGGUAUCGAACAGG